GCUGGGAUUACAGGCAUGAGCCACCGCACCCAGCCAUCCAGCGUUUAUGAAUGUUGUAUUUUUAUAACAGUCCACAUGUAUUACCAAAUUUCAAGUCACAAGAAAUACAAUAAAAAGUCACAUGAAACAUCAUUUUCCUCUGAAGAUUGAAAUGGCACUUUAGAAUCUUGUAUGCCUCAGAUGCAAGAAAUAAACUCCUUUAAAUAUGACUCCUCGGAUUUAAAUGCCCACCAUAUUUCUACAGAGCUGCAGCCAUGGGAAUCAAGGUAGGAAACCUAGAUCAGAGAUUCCAUGUUCCCUAGACCAGGAAGGGAAAACUAUUUCCCAGUUAACCAGGGCACUCUGGUAAUAAUCAGCUGAAAGGAGAAAUCUUACUGGGAGUUGCUUUCCUAACUCCAAAUAUUUUAAUCCACCGGGUUUGGGAGUAGGUUUUUUUGUAGUUGUUUUGAAUUUCACUUUGUUAUACUGUCUGAAAUUCUAAUGAGAGAUACAAAUUAAUAAAGAAAGUAUUUUAGGAGUGUAGGAUCAUUUUCUCUUUAGUAUAAAUCCUUCAAAGAAGAUUCCAUUAAAGGAAAGUGGAUAGAUGUUUUUAAGAAAAGUUAAGGCAAGAGCGUGGAUUGUUUGGGGUACUUACAGCAAGCUUUGUUGAAUAGGCCUGCAGUUCUGCAUCCCAGUUUGUUUUUAUUAUUUUUCUCACUGGGUACCUGGAGAAAGUGAUGGGAGGACAACAGAAACUCUAUAUGGUGAUUUUAAAGUAUAUCCACAAAUUCUGUGAUACUCUAUCCAUCAAGAGGUGGAGCUUAAUUUCCUUCCUAUUGAGCGUGGACUGCACUAAAUGAGUUGCAUGUGUCCUAUAAUGAAUAUGGCAGAAGUGACUCUGUGUGACUUAUAAGACUAGGUCACAAAAGGUAUUGCAGCUGCCUCCUUAUCCUCACACUGGGAUCACUUGCACUAGGAGGAGCCAGCUACUGUGUCAUGAGGAACUCAGGCAGCCCUGUGGAAAGGCCUGUGUGAUGAGGAACUGAGGCCUCUUGCCAACAGCCGUGUGAGUGAACCAUUUUGGAAGUGGACCCUCCAGUCCCAGCUAAGCCUUCAGAUAACUAUAGACUGGGCAGUGCUAACUAAAACCUCCAGAGAUCCGGAGCCAGAACCACCCAGCUAAGCCAUUCGCAGAUGACCCACAGAGACUGCCUGAGAUAAGAAAUGUUUGUUUUAAGAUGGAGGGGAUGAAAGCUGUUGAAUGCAUGGAACAAGGAUUAGUGAUGUGAUACACAACUACAGGAACUCUGGAUGUGACUCCUGUACAUGAAAAUGGAAGAGGUCAGAGUUGUCCAAGAGGGAGGCCAGCCACAUCCAGGCAGGGCCCCCAUGGCCAGAACUCUGCUAGAGCCACCAAGGUCCCAGACGAGUCUGGAAGUGUUAGUUGCAAAGGUAUGCAUUUGCUUCUCUGGCUACAAUAAAGAACAGAAAUGCACAGAGAGGAGCAGUGUGAAGAAGAAGAGGCGGUGAUCUCCACACCGACCAAAGCCCGCACUCCGCUGCAUCCUGCGCCCAGCGCCCAUGUCCCACCACGGUCGCUGCCACCAUGCCCGGGAGUAAGGCUGAAGGGGAUGCUAAAGGAGAUAAAGCCAAGGUGAGGUAGAACCGCAGAGAAGAUCCACAAGGUUGUCUGCUGAACCUGCUCCUGCAAAGCCAGAGCCCAAGCCUAAAAAGGCCUCUGCAAAAAAGAGACAGAAGGUACCUAAAGAGAAAAAGGGAAAAGCUGAUGCUGGCAAGGAGGCGAAUAACCCUGCAGAAAAUAGAGAUGCCAAAA